AUUGAACGCUGGCGGCAGGCCUAACACAUGCAAGUCGAGCGGAUGAAGGGAGCUUGCUCCUGGAUUCAGCGGCGGACGGGUGAGUAAUGCCUAGGAAUCUGCCUGGUAGUGGGGGAUAACGUCCGGAAACGGGCGCUAAUACCGCAUACGUCCUGAGGGAGAAAGUGGGGGAUCUUCGGACCUCACGCUAUCAGAUGAGCCUAGGUCGGAUUAGCUAGUUGGUGGGGUAAAGGCCUACCAAGGCGACGAUCCGUAACUGGUCUGAGAGGAUGACCAGUCACACUGGAACUGAGACACGGUCCAGACUCCUACGGGAGGCAGCAGUGGGGAAUAUUGGACAAUGGGCGAAAGUCUGAUCCAGCCAUGCCGCGUGUGUGAAGAAGGUCUUCGGAUUGUAAAGCACUUUAAGUUGGGAGGAAGGGCAGUAAGUUAAUACCUUGCUGUUUUGACGUUACCAACAGAAUAAGCACCGGCUAACUUCGU
rnacentral:rRNA from 1 species